ensembl:lncRNA
AUGCACACUCAGYCUGCAUCCCUGUGCACACACAUUCACACGCACCCCGCAUGCCUGCAUAUGCAUGCACAUGCACCCUGCACAUGCACGUGUAYCCCACGCAUCUGCGCACAUGCGAUGCAGCCCUGGAGCAGGCAGGCAGCCUCGCGCACACCUGCCCAUGCACACGCUGGCCUGUCCCGCGCGCACGGGGGCGGUUCCUGCGCCCUCACCUGCGACGACGUACAUGGCGGUGCCCUCGUCGCCCUCGGCCAGCACGGUGUCGCCAGGGCCAUGCUGCACGGGGGCGAAGCUCUGCGCCAGCGCCUGGGGGCAGCCCUGGCCCAGGCGCCGCAGGAAGGCGCUGCGGCUCACCGCCUCGGCGAUCAGGCUGCAGUCCCUGCGGGGCGAUGGGCAGGGCAGCCCCGCUGCACCCCACAGAGCACCCCGCGGUGCAUCCUGCACUGCACCCUGCACUGCACCCCGCACUGCACCCUGCACUGCACCCCAUGGAGCACCCCACGGUGCACCCCACACUGCACCCUGCACUACACCCCAUGGUGCACCCGUGGUGCAUCCCGCGCUGCAUCCCGCGCUGCACCCCGCACUGCACCCGCAUCCCCGCCGGCCGCCCCCCCGUACCUGGGCGACAGGGGCGACGCAGGCGCCUGGAGCUCAGCGUCGCUGGCGAGGGGCUCGGGCACGAUGGGCUGCGCCCGGCUGCCCCGCCGCCCCCGGGGCUGCUCCGCGUCCUCGUGCUGCGCGGCCGGGGGCUCCCGCUGCCCGGCGCCUACGGAGACGGGGUGUGACGGAACAGGCGCCGGCACUGGGCACCUGGCACUGCCAGCAGUGCCAGCACCCAUCCCGCGGCACGGCGAGCCCUUACCUGGCUCCAGCGGGCGGCCGGCCCGCGCCACGCUCCGCAGGAAGACCCGCUCCUCCUGCAGCCGCAGCUCCCGCAGCCGCUGGUCCAUCCCGGCGCCACCGAGGGAUCCGGGCACCGCGCCAGGCUGCGGGACGGCGGCCUCUGCCCUGGGCUCUGUCCCGGCGGUGCCGUGCUACGGGGAGGAAGGGGGCGUUCUCGAUGGCACGGGGGUGGCCCCGCACAGCACUGCAUUGCCCGCCCGGGCACGGCGCUGCCCGCACUGCCUUGGCACUGCACAGUCUCUGCACUGCACAGCUGGGCAUGGCACUGCCCGCACUGCCUUGGCACUGCAUUGCCCCCGCACGGCCUGGCUCAGCACUGCCUCCGCACUGCACAGCACACCUCAGCACUGCGCUGCCUCCACCCGGUGCGGCUGGGGCCUGGCAGUGCCGGGCGCUCCGUCCUUGCCGCACCGCCUUGGCCCUGGGCCCGGUGGCCCCGCGGCUCCCCGGGCACUGUGGGGCCGGGCUGGCGCUGAGGGGCCUGGCAGGGGGCCACAGCCCCCCCGAGCCGCCGGCAGGGCCUGCCCAUCCCCAGCCGUGCUGCAGCCCUGCGCRGGGCCCUGCGCYGCCUGCACGGGCUCGCCCCGCUCCCGGGCAAAGGUUGUGCCGUGUGACGGGCAGGCGCCGAGCUGGGCUCGGACCCGGCCCCCCAGCACCAGGACCCCAGUGGAACCGGCACUGCGGGCGCCGCGGGGGGCCGGGGGUGGCCACCCUCGUUGGGGCCAGCUCGGCACCCUGCGCCGCUGCACCCGCUGCACCCACUGCACCCACUGCACCUGCUGCACUCACUGCACUCACUGCACCCGCUGCAGUGCCCAGAGGAGCCCCCAGCCCCCGCGCCUCCCCUGCAGCACUGCUGCCCUACCUGCGCCGCCAGGCUGGCGAUGGGCUCGCGUCCCGCGUCCUGCGCCCCGCACCCCGCUGCCGGCCCCACUGCCGGCCCCGCCGCACCCGGCCCGUGACACAUUAACCAGCGCCUGCUUGCGCCCGCGGCACCCUGCUCCGGCGCAGGACGAGCCCAGGUCCGGCGUGGCAGCACCUGCGCGCUGGCGCCUGCGCCCUGACGGCACCCGGGGCCGCGGGGCUGGGACACGGCUGGGUGCAUUGCACUGCUCGCCCACUGCAUUGCUCCAUUGCACUGCUUGUCCACUGCACUGCUCCACCAUUGCACUGCUCGCCCACUGCACUGCUCAGACUGCCACACUGCUCGCCCCACUGCACCACUCACCACUACACUGCUCACCCUGUCACACUGUUCAGCCCACUGCACUGCUCACCCCACCUCUCCCUCUCACCCCACUGCUGCUCUCGCCCCACUGCACCUCUCACCCCAUCACACCGCUCRUCCUGCCCCUCCUCACCCCGUUGCCUCUUGCUGCGUUGCCACCGCUCAUCCUGCCCCGUCCCCUGCUCGCCUGUCACAGCCCCCCCCGUCACCGCGUGUCCCAGACGUGCCUGGGUGGCUCCAGGCUCCCCAGGGCUGCAACGGCCGCAGCUCCCUGCACCAGGGCCGGCCCCUUCCCGGGGGCUGCCCCAGCCCCCAGCCCCGGCCCCCAGCCCUGCCACCCCCCCGGGCCAGCCCUGCGCCAACGUGGCCGACCUUGGACCCUUCGGCGGCCCCGUCCCCCGUCCCAGCUGCCAGCUCCCGCCCCGGUGCCUGUGCAAGCACUGCGCGUGCAAGAGGGGUGUGCAAGCGGUGUGUGUGCAAGCAGUGUGCAUGCGACGUGCGCAUGCGAGCGGUGCGCUGUACAAGCGCUGUGCGUGCGAGAGGGGUGGGGAGGCGGCGUGCACGUGACAGCGUGCAUGCACUGUGUCAGCGUGCGGCCAGCGCGCGUGCAGUGCGUGUGCAAUGUGCAUCCACUGCCAGUGUGCGGCCAGCGCGUGUGCAGUGCGCAUGCGCCGUGUGCGUGCGGCGGCGCGGGCAGAACACCCCGCGCCGCACCCCGG